UCAACCAAAGGGCCUUUGCGG
rnacentral:misc_RNA from 1 species